UACGUAGGGGGCAAGCGUUAUCCGGAUUCACUGGGUGUAAAGGGAGCGUAGACGGCGACGCAAGUCUGGAGUGAAAGCCCGGGGCCCAACCCCGGGACUGCUCUGGAAACUGCGUCGCUGGAGUACGGGAGGGGCAGGCGGAAUUCCUGGUGUAGCGGUGAAAUGCGUAGAUAUCAGGAGGAACACCAGUGGCGAAGGCGGCCUGCUGGACGACAACUGGCGCUGAGGCGCGAAAGCGUGGGGAGCAAACAGG
rnacentral:rRNA from 1 species